UAAGGAAUAUUGGACAAUGGAGGCAACUCUGAUCCAGCAUGCCGCGUGAAGGAAUAAGGCCCUAUGGGUUGUAAACUUCUUUUAGACGGGACAAAACCCCUUUACGUGUAAAGGGUUGAUGGUACUGUCAGAAUAAGCAUCGGCUAACUUCGUGCCAGCAGCCGCGGUAAUACGAAGGAUGCAAGCGUUAUCCGGAAUUAUUGGGUUUAAAGGGUGCGUAGGCGGACUAAUAAGUCAGUGGUGAAAGCCUGCAGCUUAACUGCAGAAUUGCCAUUGAUACUGUUAGUCUUGAGUACAAUUGAGGUAGGCGGAAUGUGUCAUGUAGCGGUGAAAUGCUUAGAUAUGACACAGAACACCGAUUGCGAAGGCAGCUUGCUAAGCUGUAACUGACGCUGAGGCACGAAAGCGUUGGGAGCAAACA
rnacentral:rRNA from 1 species